rnacentral:tRNA from 1 species
GUCCGUAUAGAUUAUUAAAAUCGUGAUGCUGUUAACGUCAAGAUGAAUUAUGUUCUAUGGUCG